CUCAUGGCAUAUUCACACACUUCAGCGGCUUCUCUUUGCGCAAGUUGCCGGAGACACGCCACAGCUGCCCGUCGAAGCAACAAGUGGGAACUACACAAGUGAACCUGCAAACAGUUCCGAUUAUGAUGGAUGUUUGCAGCUGUUUCUUCUCACUUUGAGUCGUGCCACAUCAGCAAAUGAAGGUCCCGAAAGCUUUACUCCAUCCACGUCAUUAAGGUCGACUCUACUUUCAAGAGGCAGCUCUUCCCCAGUCCAAGCUGCUCUAAAGGCAUUGGUGAAAAACAAGGCCCCAGGAAUUGAUAGAAUAUCAACUGAUAUGAUUCAACAGAUGCAGUGCUAUAGGUGCUCACUUGUCUAUGCCAAGAAAUAUGGAAGACAGCUUCCUGGUCAACUGACCGGGAGAGAUCCAUAUUUAUGCCUAGUCCCAAGAAAGGUGAUCCAACCAAAUGUGGAAAUUAUAGAACAAUAUCAUUAAUAUCACACGCAAGCAAAAUUUUGCUGAAAAUCAUUCAAAAACCGCUGCAGCAGUAUAUCAACAGGGAACUGCCAGAAAUUCAGGCCGGUUUCGGAAGAGGACGUGCAACCAGGGAUAUCAUUGCUGAUGUCAGAUGGAUCCUGGCUGAGAGCAGAGAACACCAGAAAGAUAUUUACCUGUGUUUUAUUAACUACGCAAAGGCAUUCGACUGUGUGGAUCAUAACAAACUAUGGAUAAUUCUACGAAGAAUGGGAAUUCCAGAACACUUAAUUGUGCUCAUGAGGAACCUUUACAUAGAUCAAGAGGUGGUUGUUCGGACAGAAGAAGGGGAUAUUGACUGGUGUGAAGUCAGGAAAGGCGUGCACCAGGGUUUUAUUCUUUCACCAUACCUAUUCAAUCUGUAUGUAUGCUGAGCAAAUAAUACGAGAAGCUGGACUAUAUGAAGAAGAAUGGGGCAUCAGGAUUGAAGGAAGACUCACUAACAACCUGCGUUAUGCAGAUGACACAACCUUGCUUGCUGAAAGUGAGGAGGACUUGAAGCACUUACUAAUGAAGAUCAAAGACCACAGCCUUCAGUAUGGAUUACACCUCAACAUAAAGAAAACACAAAUCCUCACAACUGGACCAAUGAGCAACAUCAUGAUAAAUGGAGAAAAGACUGAAGUUGUCAAGGAUUUCAUUUUACUUGGAUCCAUUAUCAACAGCCAUGGAAGCAGCAGUCAAGAUACCAAAAGACGCAUUGCACCGGGUAAAUCUGCUGGAAAGGACCUCUUUAAAGUGUUGAAGAGUAAAGAUGUCACCCUGAAGACUAAGGUGCACCUGACCCAAGCCAUGGUAUUUCCAAUCGCCUCAUAUGCAUGUGAAAGCUGGGCAAUGAAUAAGGAAGACCCAAGAAGAAUUGAUGCCUUUGAAUUGUGGUGUUGGAGAAGAAUAUUGAAUAUACCAUGGACUGCCAAAAGAACGAACAAAUCUGUCUUAGAAGAAGUACAGCCAGAAUGCUCCUUAGAGGCAAGAGUGGUGAGACUGUGUCUUACAUACUUUGGACAUGUUGUCAGGAGGGAUCAGUCCCUGGAGAAACACAUCAUGCUUGGCAGAGUACAGGGUCAGCGGAAAAGAGGAAGACCCUCAACAAGGUAGGCUGACACAGUGGCUACAACAAUAAGCUCAAGCAUAACAACGACUGUAAGGAUGGCUUAGGGCCGGGCAGUGUUUCGCUCUGUUGUGCAUAGGGUCGCUAUGAGUCAGAACCGACUCGAUGGCACUUAACAACAACUACGUCCUAUAACCAGCCAAAUUGUUAUUCUACAUGUGAAAACAAAGAAUGCCACACUUGGAUCUGCAAGAAUUCAGAAAACACUUUUUCUUCAGAACUACUAUUUGCUGGUCCAGACCAGAUCUCAUCCUGCUGAAUCAAUAUAUUGAUCCACAUCUUCUUUGGGUGAGAGAACGAGACGUUAUUUAUACUGCUAAAACAAGCACGCACAUGAUAACACAGAUAUAGUCUCCCAGACUGCCAUAACCAUCAUGUGCCUAUAUUCAAGCUGAAGUCUUUAUCUUAGUAUAUAAAUAUACUGCAGGAUGAACUGAAUGCCGAUUAAGGCGCCCGAUGCUUACCUUCAUCAGACCCCAGAAAAGGUGUUGGUUGAUACGGACAAUGGCCGCGGAAGUUGGAAUCUGCUAAGGAGUAUGUAAUAGCUAACCUGCCCAAUCAACUAGGCCUGAAAAUGGAUGACGCUGGAACGUUGGGCCCAUACCUGGCUGUCCCUUGAACCAUCUAGCAGCUGGUUCCCUCCAAAGUGUCCCUCAGGAUAGCUGGUGCUCUCACACUGUUGAACCCAUGCAGUUUUAUUCGGUAAAGCAAACAAUUAGAGGUCUUGGGGAUGAAAUGAUCUCAACCUAUUCUCAAAAUUUAAAUGGGUAAGAAGUCCAGAUCGCUGGUGUGGAGGCAGGCGUGGAAUGCAAGUACCUACUGGGCCACUUUUGGUAAGCAGAACUAUAUACACAAGUACAUUUUUAUGUGCUUUAAAAAACCAAAUUAGGACGAUUUCUGGCCUUUAAUUUUACUUUUUGUAUCAUGAGUGUUUUCUUACAUCAAAAUAGUUUCUAUGAACAAAUAUUCCAGACUAUGGAUGUCCCACAAUUUAUUCAUUCAUUCUUUCAUCAUCAGAGUAUUUAUUAUAUUUUUAAAGGAAUUUAUUUAUACUUCACCUUGUUCCACGAAAGUGGUUUAGUAGAGUAAAAACAAUCCCAAAUUCUAGUUAUAGCUCUGCCAUUAACUGCUGUGCAACUUUGGGCAAACCACAAACUUUUAGACCUGGAUUUUCUUAGAUUUAAAAUAAACACAUUAAAGUAGAUGCUUUAUAAGAUUCUUUCACCUACAGUGUUCUACAUUUAUGUGGCAACCAAACAUUCUUAAAGAUAUCUGGGUAAAGUAAAAUUUCAAAUUUAAACUUUUCCCCCCUCAAUCAUAAAGCAAUUAUUCAAGUAACCUACAAGUUUAAAGAUGUGUGACUCUUUUAAAGGCAUAUUUUGCAAAACUUCUGAGUCAUCUGUGAAGGUCUUGCAUUAAUUCAUUUUUACUACUUUUUGGGAAAAUCAUCAUAAAUUUAACAAAAUGUCUACUAAAGUUAGGGCUAGUUUUUGUGGGCAUAGAAAACAGCAAACUAAAAUGCUCAUAUUAGGAAAAAAGUCAGCUACCUUAGUUUCCCAAGUUCCAGACUUAAGCUGUCUUACACAAAUGUUAUCGGAGUGUUUUUAUUUUGAGAUUAUUGUUUAAAUAGUAACUCACUUUAACUAGGAUAGGAAAAUCUACUGUUUGAAUAUAACUUAUAUGUAACUAAAAUUACCUGAGUGACUUCAUACUAACCGGUGUUUAUAAGAAACAUGAGGUAACACUACACCAAAAAGAGCGACAGAGGCAUCAAUGACCGAGACUCCAAGAGGGAGAGGACCGGGCACCGCCUCUCCAGCAGGUAUUCGUAAAUAAAUGGAGGAUGGAUCAUGCUCUAGGGCCCCACUUCCAGAUGCACUGUUUGGCUGGAGCUGCAAAAGAAUGACACAGAAAAGCUUUCAAAAUCUACUCUGGAAUUGUAAUUCACUUACUAUGUUAUUAGGCAUGAGGAAUGGAACAGAGGAGGAAAGCGAAAAGGCAACAAAAAAACAACAGGAUCUGAACAUUUAAAAACAGGUAAAAUAUAAUUCAGCCAUUAAAAUAAGAGUCAUCGGUAACACCUUAUACAAUCUUUAAGAUUAAAAAGAAUAAUUUAUGUGAAAAUGAUGAUCAUCUCCCAAAUGGUCAACAGGAACAAAACAAUCAAAUCUUUUGUUCUUCUUCAAAAAAGUCUGUAUUAAGUAUCUGUAAUGCUGGUUUUAAUGCACAAUAAUGGUAAUUUCUUUUUUAUUACUGUACUAUGCGUUUAGCCAACACCAUCUCUAAGUGCCUAAGAAACCUCAAUGAAAACUAAGCCUUCGAUCUAAAAUAUCUUCUUAUGUAAUAGGACCAUGUAAUAGGACCACUGUUUUAGAUUAAGCCCGUAUUUCAUCUCCCUGCUUUGUUUACUACCUGGUCUUCAAUUGAUUUAUGGUCAGUUUCUUGAAGCCAGGAGCCAAGAAGAACACUGUCAUCAUAAUGGCAGAGGGACCUGAGGAGGGAUGUAGUCGUGUUGGCAGAGUUGUCAGUCAAAGUGAAUUCUGCUACCAAUUCUCUAAGAAGUGCAUUGAAAGAUCCUAAAAAGCAGAGCUUCCAGUCAGAUUAAAAAGAAUAAUUUAUAUGAAAUGACAAUCAUUUCCCAAAUGGUGAACAUGAAUAAAACAAUUAAAUCCUUUGUUCCCUUAAAACAUUCCAUACUAAAUAUCUGUAAGGCUAGUUUUAAUCCACAAUAAUGGUACUGCCUUCUUUUAUUAUUGUAUUAUGCAUUUUAGCUCAAAUUAUUUGAAGUAACCAAAAACUUGAAUAGCAGCAAAGCAGAGCAUACCAAAAUUCUUGAGCAUGGUUGUACUGGAGACAAAUCAAUUGUUUAUUAUAAUUUUAAUAUUUCAUAUAAUAUUUGAUUUCUGAAAAAUAUAUCACUAUUCUUCCCUCCAGAUUCCUAAAUUAUUGACUGUAUGAUGGUAUGUAUGAAGCUGAUUAGGAUAAGAACUAUAAACAGGCUGUGAAGAUAAACCAGCUGGAUCUGAAUCCAAGCUCUGACGCCUACUAGUUGCUUUGCUUGGUUUGGGCAACCUACUUUUCCUGUCUGAAGCCAAGAUUCUUCACCUAUACACCAUAAUUGUUCGCAAAUAACACACACUUUCUAUGUUUGUUUGCGAACCACACCCUCCCCCCACAAGAUAUUUUCAAAAAGUGCUGCUAUGCCAAUUUUUUUUACAUGUUGCUGUAAAAAAAAAUUAUCAUAGCACAGGGAGAGGGUGCGGUUGGCAAAGAAACAUAGAAGGCAUGUGUUAUUAGCAUCAAAAUACAUUAAUAGGGAUAACUGCCUCAUAGGCUUGUGCUUAGAGUCAAAGGAACUAAUACAUGCAAAGGGCUUAGAACACUGCCUGGAACACACUAAGUGCUCCAUAAGUGUUAGCUACUAUACAUGAAAAGUAAAAUGGUUGCUUUCCUUUGCACAGUAAGCCAAUCAGUCAGAGAUCCUUGAUCAGGACUCUGUAAUACUGGGGAGAACUGGAAAGGCAUAGUAAAGAAUUUUUAUCAAAUACUGCAAAUUUUAUUUACCUUCGUAAGUUUUUGGAGGCAACAAAGCCAAGAUAUCAUAAAGUCUUAAACGGACCAUUGCAGCACUGGCUUUCAAAUGAGCUCCAUGGGCUUUAAUUACAGAUGGAAUACUAAAAUAUCAAAAGUAUAGUUGGCAUCAGUUUAUUAGAAUAAGUAUUAUUGAGAAACAUUUUUUCAGCAAUGUAUCAACAUACUGUUAGAGUACAUUGAUAGGCAUUACAUUUUCAUUUUAGUUUAGUUUAUGACCUUUACAAACACUUUAAGAUACAAUUGCGUGUGUGUGUCUGUGUCUGUGUGUGUGCGUGCACACCCUGGCGGCACAGUAGUUAAGAGUCUGGCUGUUAACCAAAAGGUUGGCAGUUGGAAUCCAUCAGCUGCUCCUUGGAAACCCUAUGGGGCAGUUCUACUCUGUCAUAUAGGGUCGCUAUGAGUCAGAAUCAAUUGACGGCAAUCCACACAUACGUAUAUACAGCUAACUGAUUUUCACCAACAAUGCAAAGACUAUUCAAUGAGGAAACAGUAGUCUUUUCAACAAAUGGUUCAGGGACAACUGGACAGCCACAUGCAAAAGAAUAAAGUUGGACCCUUACCUCGUACCAAAUACAAAAAUUAACUUAAAAUAUAUCAAAAACCUAAAUGUAACAGCUUUAACUAUAACACUAUAAAACUCUUAGAACUGAGAAAAGCCCACUACCAAACCCACUGACGUUAAGCCAAUUCCGACUCUUAGUGACCCUAAAAGACAGAACUGCUCCAUAGAAUUUCCAAGGCUGUAAAUCCUUACAGAAGUAGACUGCCGUAUCUUUUUCCAGUGGAGCCGCUGGUGGGUUCAAACCACCGACCUUUAGCCAAACACUUUAACCACUGCACCACCAGGGCUCCUCAAAACUAAGAAAACAUUGGGUAAGUCUUCAUGACCUUGGCAAAGGAUUCUUAGCUCUGUCACCAAAAGCACAAGCUUCAAAAGAAAAAAACAGAAAAACUGAACUUCAUCAAAAUUAAAAACUUCUGUGCUUCAAAGGGCACCAUCAAGAAAGUGAAAAGAGAACAGAACGGGAGAAAUUACUUGCAAAUCAUGUAUCCGACAAGGGAUUUAUAUCUAAAAUACAAAAGAACUCCUUUAUCUCAAUAAUAAACAUAAAUAACCCAAUUAAAUAAUGGGAAAAGAUCUGAAUAGACAUUUCUCGACAGACCUAAAAAUAGCCAAUAAGCAUAUGAAAAGAUGACGACAUCAUUCAUCGUAAGAAAAAUGCAAAUCAAAAUCACAAUGAGAUACCAUUCACAGCAAUUAGGAUGGUUAGAAUCAGAAAGACAUACAACCACAAAUGUUGGUGAGGAUGUGGAGAGAUCAGAACCCUCAUACAUUACUAGUGAGAAUGUAAAAUGGCGCAGCCACCUUGCAAAACAGUCUGGCAGUUCCUCCAACGGUUAAACAUAGAGUUACCCCAUGACCCAGCCAUUCCACUCUGGAAUAUACCCAAGAGUAACAAAAACAUAUAUCCAUGCAAGAAUUUGUACCUGAAUGCUCUAGCAGCAUAAUUCAUAAUAGCCAAAAGAUAGAAACAACCCAAAUGUCCAUCAACAGAAGAACAGGUAAACAAAACGCAGCAUAUCCAUACAAUGGAAUAUUAUUUACACCAAAAAAAGAAAUGAAGUACCGAUGAUACAUGCUCAUCACGGAUGAACCAUGAAAAUACUAAGCGAAAGAAACCCAGCCCAAACCCACUGCCAUCAACUGACUCUGACUCAUAGUAACCCUAGAGGACAGAGUAGAAUUUCCCCGAAGGGUUUCCAAGGCUGUAAUCCUUACGGAAACAGACUGCCACAUCUUUCCCCCGCGGAGCCACUGGUGGGUUCAAACAGCCGACCUUUCCAUUAGGAGCCAAGCACUUUUACCACUGCACCACCAGGGCUCCUUUAAGUGAAAAAAGCCAGGCACAAAAAUACAUUUAUUAUAUAACUCCAUUUAUACAAAAGUCCAGAGUAUGGAAAUCUAUAAGGAAAGAAAGUACAGCAGUGACUGUUCAGGGCUGAGAGAGAAGGUUUAAUGGUGCAUAAAGGAGUUAUAGCUAAAAGGUAUAAAUGAGGCUUCUUUUUGAGGUGAUGAAAAUGUUCUAAAAUUGACUGUAGUAAUGGUUGCACGUAUCUGUGAAUAUACUAGAAACCACUGAAUUGUACAUCUGAAAUGUAUGGUAUGUGAAUUAUACCUCAAUAAAGCUGUUAAAAAAAAAAAAGACCUGUAUUUCAA